rnacentral:rRNA from 1 species
UACGGGGGGAGCAAGCGUUGUUCGGAUUUACUGGGCGUAAAGGGCGCGUAGGCGGCCACGACAAGUCACUUGUGAAAUCUCCGGGCUUAACUCGGAAAGGUCAAGUGAUACUGUCGGGCUAGAGUGCAGAAGGGGCAACUGGAAUUCUCGGUGUAGCGGUGAAAUGCGUAGAUAUCGAGAGGAACACCUGCGGCGAAGGCGGGUUGCUGGGCUGGCACUGACGCUGAAGCGCGAAAGCUAGGGGAGCGAACGGG